rnacentral:lncRNA from 1 species
CUCCCUCUCUCCCUCCCUUCCUACUAAAAACCAAUAAGGCUAGGGAGCCUAUCUGCAUAGUUCUGUGAAUGUCUCGGAACAAAGCAAUACACAGAAGCUAAUGCUCUCAUCCUGUGUAAGAUACAAAUCUUGUCACAUCAUGGACCAUCGUGGAGCAUGAAGCUAUUUCUAAUGUGAUGGGGGAAAUGUUUCUAGCAGAAGAGCAAGACAUGGUCCUGGUGCAUGAAAGGAGCCUAAGAAAGAAGAGUGAAAGCUGCACGUGUGUGAGUAUCUAGCAGAACAUCUAGAAAAUGCACACCAACCUCCAGCAGCAGAAAACAGUCUACCUCCAGAAAGCCAUAAAAGAGAAAAGAAUGUUGUACCAAACUAAGCAAAUGAAGCAUGAAAUGAAAAGCCGGUUGAGCUGGGAGGUAUAAAGAAUGGAAAGGAAGCAGCUACCACCCCUGGUAACCCCAUCAAUCCGGAGAAGCUUCGCAGAGUUACACUGUGCUCUGUCGGGAAGGAAAUGAAUUUUCCUCAUUGUACACAUUCCGAGAAAAAUGAGGCUAAGACUAUUUCAAAGGAUGUUCUACCUAAUUCGAAUGGGCUUUAAGUGCCAUCUUCACAAUAGCGCCAGAGUCUGGUGUCAGCAAACUGAACAAAUAGAGCUACAGGGAGCGAAUGGGGCUGGGUGCCUCUCCAAAACAUAUGCAGAUGAACUUGAGAUUUCAGAGGACGGUUAAUCCUACACAGCAGUCAAGUGCCUUCCCAGGGGUAUGUCUCAGAUCUCAGGGCUCCCUUCCAAACACUGGCUGCCACGUCAAACCAAAGGGGACGAGCAAUCAGACUCACCUCAAACGCCAGUUAAGAAAGCCGGCCUUACUUAAGCAAUCAAGGGCAAGUGAUCAGCCAACUCUGCUUUCUUUCCUUUCUCUUGGAUCAUUUAUAGACCUUGUGGCCGUGGCCACCACAUUGAGAAGCCCUUGGUCUCUACUUGGACUCACUAUAGCAGGU